rnacentral:rRNA from 1 species
AGAGUUUGAUCCUGGCUCAGGACGAACGCUGGCGGCGUGCCUAAUACAUGCAAGUCGAGCGGACAGAUGGGAGCUUGCUCCCUGAUGUUAGCGGCGGACGGGUGAGUAACACGUGGGUAACCUGCCUGUAAGACUGGGAUAACUCCGGGAAACCGGGGCUAAUACCGGAUGGUUGUUUGAACAGCAUGGUGCAAACAUAAAAGGUGGCUUCGGCUACCACUUACAGAUGGACCCGCGGCGCAUUAGCUAGUUGGUGAGGUAACGGCUCACCAAGGCGACGAUGCGUAGCCGACCUGAGAGGGUGAUCGGCCACACUGGGACUGAGACACGGCCCAGACUCCUACGGGAGGCAGCAGUAGGGAAUCUUCCGCAAUGGACGAAAGUCUGACGGAGCAACGCCGCGUGAGUGAUGAAGGUUUUCGGAUCGUAAAGCUCUGUUGUUAGGGAAGAACAAGUACCGUUCGAAUAGGGCGGUACCUUGACGGUACCUAACCAGAAAGCCACGGCUAACUACGUGCCAGCAGCCGCGGUAAUACGUAGGUGGCAAGCGUUGUCCGGAAUUAUUGGGCGUAAAGGGCUCGCAGGCGGUUUCUUAAGUCUGAUGUGAAAGCCCCCGGCUCAACCGGGGAGGGUCAUUGGAAACUGGGGAACUUGAGUGCAGAAGAGGAGAGUGGAAUUCCACGUGUAGCGGUGAAAUGCGUAGAGAUGUGGAGGAACACCAGUGGCGAAGGCGACUCUCUGGUCUGUAACUGACGCUGAGGAGCGAAAGCGUGGGGAGCGAACAGGAUUAGAUACCCUGGUAGUCCACGCCGUAAACGAUGAGUGCUAAGUGUUAGGGGGUUUCCGCCCCUUAGUGCUGCAGCUAACGCAUUAAGCACUCCGCCUGGGGAGUACGGUCGCAAGACUGAAACUCAAAGGAAUUGACGGGGGCCCGCACAAGCGGUGGAGCAUGUGGCUUAAUUCGAAGCAACGCGAAGAACCUUACCAGGUCUUGACAUCCUCUGACAAUCCUAGAGAUAGGACGUCCCCUUCGGGGGCAGAGUGACAGGUGGUGCAUGGUUGUCGUCAGCUCGUGUCGUGAGAUGUUGGGUUAAGUCCCGCAACGAGCGCAACCCUUGAUCUUAGUUGCCAGCAUUCAGUUGGGCACUCUAAGGUGACUGCCGGUGACAAACCGGAGGAAGGUGGGGAUGACGUCAAAUCAUCAUGCCCCUUAUGACCUGGGCUACACACGUGCUACAAUGGACAGAACAAAGGGCAGCGAAACCGCGAGGUUAAGCCAAUCCCACAAAUCUGUUCUCAGUUCGGAUCGCAGUCUGCAACUCGACUGCGUGAAGCUGGAAUCGCUAGUAAUCGCGGAUCAGCAUGCCGCGGUGAAUACGUUCCCGGGCCUUGUACACACCGCCCGUCACACCACGAGAGUUUGUAACACCCGAAGUCGGUGAGGUAACCUUUUAGGAGCCAGCCGCCGAAGGUGGGACAGAUGAUUGGGGUGAAGUCGUAACAAGGUA